rnacentral:rRNA from 1 species
GUCUACAGCCACGCUACCCUGAACAUGCCCGAUCCCGUCUGAUCUUGGAAGCUAAGCAGGGUCAGGCCUGGUUAGCACUUGGAUGGGAGAACACCUAGGAAGACCAGGUGCUGUAGGCA